rnacentral:rRNA from 1 species
GACGAACGCUGGCGGCGUGCUUAACACAUGCAAGUCGAACGGAAAGGCCCUGCUUUUGUGGGGUGCUCGAGUGGCGAACGGGUGAGUAACACGUGAGUAACCUGCCCUUGACUUUGGGAUAACUUCAGGAAACUGGGGCUAAUACCAGAUAGGAGCUCCUGCUGCAUGGUGGGGGUUGGAAAGUUUCGGCUGUUGGGGAUGGACUCGCGGCUUAUCAACUUGUUGGUGGGGUAGUGGCUUACCAAGGCUUUGGCGGGUAGGCGGCCUGGGAGGGUGACCGGGCACCAUGGGACUGAGGUAGGGCCCAGAGUGCAAAAGGGGGGAAGAGGGGGGAAAAUUAGCAAAAGGGACGGAGUCGUAAAAGAACACCGCCGGGUUGGGAAGACCGGCUUUGGGGUAGUAAAAGCAUUAGGCUGAUACCAAGCGGUAGUGAAGGUAAAGGGAGAAGAAGCACCGGCUAACUACGUG